rnacentral:rRNA from 1 species
UACGAAGGGGGCUAGCGUUGCUCGGAAUUACUGGGCGUAAAGGGCGCGUAGGCGGAUAUUUAAGUCGGGGGUGAAAGCCCAGGGCUCAACCCUGGAAUUGCCUUCGAUACUGGAUAUCUUGAGUUCGGGAGAGGUGAGUGGAAUGCCGAGUGUAGAGGUGAAAUUCGUAGAUAUUCGGCGGAACACCAGUGGCGAAGGCGACUCACUGGCCCGAUACUGACGCUGAGGCGCGAAAGCGUGGGGAGCAAACAGGG